rnacentral:piRNA from 1 species
UCACUUUGUUGUUGAUCUUGGUAGCUAGG